CACCGGCAAUUACCUCGUCAAGCCGCCGCCUCCAAAUAGAGAGAAAGAACAUGUCUUCCCCAAAAUUCUUCUUUCCCUUUGAAAUCACCACCACCACCAAACUCUCAACACCACCUCUAACAAUCACAUCUCCACGCUGCCGCCGCUGCCCUUGCUCCUUCCUUCCACCACCCGUCUUCUCCGCUCUUCUCGUCCCUUCCACCGCCAAAUUUUUUUUGCCAGUUCCACACCAGUCGAUUCUUCUCUUGCAAAUUCUAGAAUCUUAGCAAGCCUAGCAACAUUACUAAACUCCGGCCAAAGCUCUAAUCGCCACCACCGCCAAAGCCCUAAUCGUCGCCAUUGUCGGAGAAGACGAUAAAAAGCAGAAAACAGCGGGGAGGUUUGGAUCCGGAAGCAUCAGGUAGCUUCCAUAAUUGUGGGUUACUAUCGGGAGACGCCGGAGAAGACACCAUAAAAUGCAAAAAAUAGUUUUUUUUCUCUAAAAGCUCUGUUUUCGAUGGUUUUCGAUAUGGGCAGAUAUUUUCUUGGAUUAUCAUGGGUUGUUGAUGAGUUUUGGACAAGAAUAAUAAUGAACUUGAAUCUUAGCUCGAAUCGAACCAAAUUUCGUCAGAGAAAUCGUUGGAGUGGUGGGGCGAAGCAGCUGAGGAUAUGGAGGGAGGUGAGGUUGCAGAGAGUGUUCGCCGGAAGGAGAGCGGCGGUCAGUUGUGUUCAAUGUAUUUUUGGAAAAUUGCAAAUCAGCCCCUGACUUAAGGAAGAAGAGGGCUUUUCUGAAACUUCAAGGGACCGAAUUGAAAAAAAAAUGAAAAAAAAUUUUCGGGCUUAUUUUUGAAAUUUAUAAUGUAAAGGGUAUUUUGGUAUUUUCAAGUCAAAAAUCAAACCCCAAUUAUAUUUGGCGAGUGUAUCACACGUCCACCUCAUAGGGGCCUCAAUGUCGUUGACUAUGUAACACAAGAGGGUAUGUGCUAAUUGUUUUAACACAGGGGCUUUUGCAGCCAUUAGACAUUACAUAGAGGUGCCGGAUUCUAAAACCACAUAUGAGAUAACUUGAAUGCGGAAAUAUAUUGGGAUUUUGGCCCAACUGUUUUUUGUUCAUCUUUGGCCCAAUACCAGCAUACAACCAGCCCAUCUUGGAGCGAGC
rnacentral:lncRNA from 1 species